ACUAUAGUUGCCUAUGUUAGAGAAUAUAUAUGCAUUAGUGCCACCUAUAUAUGUUGCCUCUACUUGUUGUUUUUGUGGUUCUUUUUCUUCACAAUGGUUGCCUGAUAUUAUUGCAAUGAGCUUAUGGGGCACCAACCCCUCUUUUAAUGCAUGACACUAGUUGCUUCAAAUUUUACAAGAGUUGUCUGAAAUUAUAGCAAAGUUGCUGCAUGUUUUUUAUUUUUGCAUAGGGGAUGCAUGCUAUUUUUUACUGCAAGGAACUCAUAUGGGGCAGUAGACCUUUUUUUACGCGCCUGAUAGUAGUUGGACUCAUUGGAUGGUUAAAAGUGUUAGAGAGGUCGAUUCCGAUAUUUUGGGGCGUUUUGGUGAUCCACGUUGGAGUUGUGGUAGGUGAUUUAGAGGUGAAGUUAGUCAAUUGAUAAUCAUGGUAACCAACUUAUAAGGAUAAUCAUGGUAAUCACACUAUAGUUGCCUAUGUUAGAGAAUAUAUAUGCAUUAGUGCCACCUAUAUAUGUUGCCUCUACUUGUUGUUUUUGUGGUUCUUUUUCUUCACAAGGGUUGCCUGAUAUUACUGCAAUGAGCUUAUGGGGCACCAACCCCUCUUUUAAUGCAUGACACUAGUUGCUUCAAAUUUUACAAGAGUUGUCUGAAAUUAUAGCAAAGUUGCUGCAUGUUUUUUACUUUUGCAUAGGGGAUGCAUGCUAUUUUUUACUGCAAGGAACUCAUAUGGGGCAGUAGACCUUUUUUACGUGCCUGAUAGUAGUUGGACUCAUUGGAUGGUUAAAAGUGUUAGAGAGGUCGAUUCCGAUAUUUUGGGGCGUUUUGGUGAUCCACGUUGGAGUUGUGGUAGGCGAUUUAGAGGUGAAGUUAGUCAAUUGAUAAUCAUGGUAACCAACUUAUAAGGAUAAUCAUGGUAAUCACACUAUAGUUGCCUAUGUUAGAGAAUAUAUAUGCAUUAGUGCCACCUAUAUAUGUUGCCUCUACUUGUUGUUUUUGUGGUUCUUUUUCUUCACAAUGGUUGCCUGAUAUUAUUGCAAUGAGCUUAUGGGGCACCAACCCCUCUUUUAAUGCAUGACACUAGUUGCUUCAAAUUUUACAAGAGUUGUCUGAAAUUAUAGCAAAGUUGCUGCAUGUUUUUUAUUUUUGCAUAGGGGAUGCAUGCUAUUUUUUACUGCAAGGAACUCAUAUGGGGCAGUAGACCUUUUUUUACGCGCCUGAUAGUAGUUGGACUCAUUGGAUGGUUAAAAGUGUUAGAGAGGUCGAUUCCGAUAUUUUGGGGCGUUUUGGUGAUCCACGUUGGAGUUGUGGUA
rnacentral:lncRNA from 1 species